rnacentral:rRNA from 1 species
CCUACGGGAGGCAGCAGUGGGGGAUAUUGCACAAUGGGGGGAACCCUGAUGCAGCGACGCCGCGUGGGUGAAGAAGCGCCUCGGCGCGUAAAGCCCUGUCAGCAGGGAAGCACAUGACGGUACCUGAAGAAGACGCCCCGGCUCACUACGUGCCAGCAGCCGCGGUAAUACGUCGGGGGCAAGCGUUAUCCGGCUUUACUGGGUGUAACGGGGGCGCAGACGGCGGUGCAAGCCAGGAGUGAAAGCCCUGGGCCCAACCCCGGGACUGGUCUUGGAACUGCGUGGCUGGAGUGCAGGAGGGGCAGGCGGAAUUCCUGGGGUAGCGGUGAAAUGCGUAGAUAGCAGGAGGAACACCGGUGGCGAAGGCGGCCUGCUGGACUGCAACGGACGUUGAGGCCCGAAAGCGUGGGGAGCAAACAGGAUUAGAUACCCCUGUAGUC